rfam:Patagioenas fasciata monilis isolate BTP2013 Sc31e1R_24, whole genome shotgun sequence.
CUGCACUGCUUCAGUGACCAGCUGGUCUUCCCCUGGCCUCCUUGGUCUUGUAGCAGUGCAAGAGAAAUUCCUUCUAGCAGAAGGGCCAGGCUCUUGUCAUGGUCUGUCCCUUUCGAAAGCUGGGUACAAGC